rnacentral:lncRNA from 1 species
GGAGAUUCUGCAGGGAAGGAAGACUAAAGGGCUAUACUGACUGGAGGGUAGUGUACAGGCAGGAGGAGUUACUGUCAAACAUGGGUCCAGAGGUAUUAACAAGAAGAAUGGACAAGGGAAGCAAUCGUUGUACAGAGGCACGCAAAGUAAGCGCAGGGGUACCUGGAGGACCCAGAGUGGUACAGGAGUGUAGGGAGAUGCUUUGGGAUACGUGCAAAAGUCUGGCCAGAUAGGAGUGGUGCAACUAGUGCAGGAUGUCCAUAGAGAAGCUCAGAGGAAGGAGAUAGUCGAUUUAAAGGAGCUAUACAGCGACAGGCGCGAUGUACUGUAAUUACCAGAAACUUUAGGGACCAACUGUAAUUACCAAAAACUCCAGGGACUAAAAGUUUAAUUUACCAGUCAACGGUCAACGGUCAAUGGUCAACAUUCGGCGUGGUCAAACUUGGCUGUUGGUGUUAUGCUGAUGUCACGCUGACGUCAGUAGUGGCUGGGUGUUGGGUGCGCGCGUACAAGCGCGUGGAAUUCGCGGUUGAGAGUAGAUUUGACGCACUGAACUUCAGGCAGCGCGUGGAGGCGCGUUUGGCGUUCGACUUCGACAUGGUUUGGUGCUAGAGUUUCGUUUUGAAGAGAAGAAUCUUGUGGUGUGCUCAAACGCCAUUUUUGAGCAAUUUCGGAUAUGGACAGAAUGCGAAAUCUGCUCCGAUCUUUGCAGAAAAUGCUUCAGUGACUCAAAUUUGACUUAUCAUUUGUUGU